rnacentral:lncRNA from 1 species
UGUCUCCAUUGGUUGGGCUCCUACGUUCCCCGACUGCCACCUCUUACACUUUCCCUUCUACAGCUCCUGCACCACCGAGAACCCCACCGUGCCCUUUUGAUGCUCGUUUUUCAGUGCAAUGCGGACGUCGGUUCAACUAGCAUCUUACUGUGUCCAGUCCUCUGGCCUGCGGCACAGCUCUAACGCCUGCUCAGCUUGGCAGCAGUUUGGCCUGACUGAUGGGCUCGUCUUUACACCCCCGGUGAACGACCGUGCACUAUAACUGAGUGGUGGGGGAAAGAGGAGCCUUGAGGCAAAUACAGUAAACCAGCCAGAGACGUCAAAAUGAACUAAAAGAAUGGGCUGGUGUAACUCAAACAGUUGAAUUUGCUGCAGCUACACAAGUUUAUGCCAGCUGAACGUCUGGCUCGUGUUGUUUUGGAUAACAACUGAAAAGGUUACUUUAAUGUUGCGCUGAGGGUCUAACCAGCAAUGAAGCAUUUACUCAAUGCAUUUAGCCUUUUUUCCCCCCCUACUCACGGAAUAUGUUGCCAACACUGAGCAUUGGAAUCUGGGGCGUUUUUCCUGAAUAUUGGCUGAGUGGAUACUGCAGGGUUUGGCUAGGUUAUAUACUCACCGCACAGGGCUGUGAUGUUGUAUGAUUGAAAUCCCUACGCUACUUGUGCUACAUUGAUGCCAUUUUCAUCAUCUGGACCCAUGGGAAGGAGGCCCUUGAGGAAUUCCACCAAGAUUUCAACAAUUUCCAUCUCGCCAUCAACCUCAGCCUGGACCAGUCCACACAAGAGGUCCACUUCCUAGACACUACAGUGCUAAUAAGCGAUGGUCACAUAAACACCACCCUAUAUCGGAAACCUACUGACUGCUAUACUUAACUACAUGCCUCCAGCUUUCAUCCAGACCACAUCACACGAUCCAUUGUCUACAGCCAAGCUCUAAGAUACAACCGCAUUUGCUCUGAUCCCUCAGACAGAGACAACACCUACAGGAUCUCUAUCAAGCGUUCUUAAAACUACAGUACCCACCUGGUGAAGUGAAGAAACAGAUUGACAGAGCCAGAAGAAUACCCAGAAGUCACCUACUACAAGACAGGCCCAACAAAAAAGUAACAGAACGCCACUAGCCAUCACCUACAGCCCCCAACUAAAACCUCUCCAGCGCAUCACCAAGGAUCUACAACCUAUACUGAAGGACGAUCCCUCACUCUCACAGACCUUGGGAGACAGGCCAGUCCUUGCUUACAGACAGCCCCCCAACCUGAAGCA